rnacentral:rRNA from 1 species
UCAAGCGAACAAGGGCGCAGGGCGAAUGCCUUGGCACUGGGAGCCGAUGAAAGACGUGAUAAGCUGCGAUAAGCUUCGGGGAGCUGCAAAUAAGCAUUGAUCCGGAGAUUUCUGAAUGAGGAAACUCACCUGGGUUCAUACUCAGGUACAAUACACUGAAAUUCAAAAUAGGUGUAUUGAGGGAACCGCCUGAACUGAAACAUCUAAGUAGGGCGAGGAAGAGACAUCAAACGAGAUUCCGUAAGUAGUGGCGAGCGAACGCGGAAGAGGGCAAACCGAGAGUAGAAAUACUUUCGGGGUACGGACUGCUUUUAAGACUCAAUCUGUUAACCGAACGGCAUGGGAAGGCCGGUCAGAGAGUGUGAGAACCACGUAGGUGAAAACGGAGAGAGCUGCGCAGGAUCCAGAGUACGGCCAGACACGUGAAACCUGGUCGGAAUACGGGGGGACCACCCUCCAACCCUAAAUACUACCCAGUGACCGAUAGCGUAUAGUACUGUGAAGGAAAGGUGAAAAGCACCCCGGGAGGGGAGUGAAAAAGAACCUGAAACCCUGUGCCUACAAGCACCUAGAGCGCGUCAAAGCGUGAUAGGGUACUUUUUGUAGAACGGUCCGGCGAGCGAUUGUAUGCAGCAAGGUUAAGGACUUAAGGUCUGGAGCCGAAGCGAAAGCGAGUUUGAAAAGGGCGUUAAGUUGCAUAUAAUGGGCCCGAAACCGGGUGACCUACCCAUGGUCAGGUUGAAGUGGAAGUAAAAUUCCAUGGAGGACCGAACCGACCUCCGUUGAAAAGGCGGCGGAUGAACUGUGGGUAGCGGAGAAAUUCCAAUCGAACCCGGAGAUAGCUGGUUCUCCCCGAAAUAGUUUUAGGACUAGCCUCAAGUUAGAUACCUGGAGGUAAAGCACUGAAUAGCCUAGCGGCCGAGAGGUUAGCGAAGCUUAUCAAACUCAGAAUGCCAGAGUAUUGAUGCUUGGGAGUCAGACAGUGUCAGAUAAAUGUCAUUGUCAAAAGGGAAACAGCCCAGAUCUACAGCUAAGGUCCCAAAGUCAGGUUAAGUGGAAAACGAUGUGAAGAUACGCAGACAACCAGGAUGUUGGCUCAGAAGCAGCCACUCAUUCAAAGAGUGCGUAAUAGCUCACUGGUCGAGCGUCUUUGCGCGGAGAAUUUAACGGGGCUAAACCUGACACCGAAGCUUAGGCAAUACAGAAAUGUAUUGGGUAGGGGAGCGUUGUAUACGCGGAGAAACAGUAGCGCAAGCGGCUGUGGAGUGUAUAGAAGUGAGAAUGCCGGAAUGAGUAGCGCGAAUGCAGUGAGAAUCUGCAUGGCCGAAAGCCUCAGGUUUCUGGAGGAAGGUUCGUCCGCUCCAGGUUAGUCGGGAGCUAAGGUGAGGCCGGAAGGCGUAGCCGAUGCACAGACGGUAGAGAUUCCGUCACCACCAAAAGAGUUAAGCACAGGGACACAUAUGAAGUCUCAGAGCCGGGUGUUGGUUCCGGUAGAGAUCGAGGGAAAUUAGUACCGAAGUCUGAGAUGGAAGAUGGCGAGAAAAGCUGUGUGUAUUUCUGAGGUGCCCGUACCGCAAACCGACACAGGUAGGUAGGAAGAAGAUUCUAAGGCCAACGGGAGAAGGGUUGUUAAGGAACUCGGCAAAUUGACCCCGUAACUUCGGGAGAAGGGGUGCUCCAGAGAUGGAGCCGCAGAGAAUCGGCCCAAGCAACUGUUUACCAAAAACACAGGUUUGUGCUAAAUCGAAAGAUGACGUAUACGAGCUGACGCCUGCCCGGUGCUGGAAGGUUAAGAGGAGAUGUGCAAGCAUUGAAUCGAAGCCCCAGUGAACGGCGGCCGUAACUAUAACGGUCCUAAGGUAGCGAAAUUCCUUGUCAGGUAAG